CCUACGGGAGGCAGCAGUGGGGAAUCUUUCACAAUGGGGGAAACCCUGAUGCAGCGACGCCGCGUGCGUGAAGAAGUCUUUCGGUAUGUACAGCUCUAUCAGCAGGGAAGACAAUGACGGUACCUGACUAAGAAGCCUCGGCUAACUACGUGCCAGCAGCCGCGGUCAUACGUAGGGCGCAAGCGUUAUCCGGAUUUACUGGGUGUAAAGGGAGCGUAGGUGGAAUGGUAAGCUAGAAGUGAAAACCCGGGGCUCAACCCCGCGGAUUACUUUCGGAAAUAUCAGGCUGGAGAGCUGGAGGGGUAAGCGGAAUGCCUAGUGUAGCGGUGAAAUGCGUAGAUAUUAGGAAGAACACCGGUAGCGAAGGCAGCUUACUGGACAGAAACUGACACUGAGGCUCGAAAGCGUAGGGAGCAAACAGGAUUAGAUACCCGGGUAGUC
rnacentral:rRNA from 1 species